rnacentral:rRNA from 1 species
AACGAACGCUGGCGGCAGGCCUAACACAUACAAGUCGAGCGGGACCUUCGGGUCUAGCGGCGGACGGGUGAGUAACGCGUGGGAACGUGCCCUUUGCUUCGGAAUAGCCCCGGGAAACUGGGAGUAAUACCGAAUGUGCUCUACGGAGGAAAGAUUUAUCGGCAAAGGAUCGGCGCGCGUUGGAUUAGGUAGUUGGUGGGGUAAUGGCCUACCAAGCCGACGAUCCAUAGCUGGUUUGAGAGGAUGAUCAGCCACACUGGGACUGAGACACGGCCCAGACUCCUACGGGAGGCAGCAGUGGGGAAUCUUAGACAAUGGGGGAAACCCUGAUCUAGCCAUGCCGCGUGAGCGAUGAAGGCCUUAGGGUUGUAAAGCUCUUUCACCGGGGAAGAUAAUGACGGUACCCGGAGAAGAAGCCCCGGCUAACUCCGAGCCAGCCGCCGCAGUAAGAC